GCGGCCGCCCUCGUGGCGCCUCAGCGGUCUCGGCCGCUCGCUGCCGGCCCCCGGCCCCAGCCGCCCCCGCUUUGUCGCUCACCCCAAGUGGAGAGUCGUGGUGCCUGGCAAGGGGCCGGCCUGGGACGCGAGGACGCGCUUUCCGGAGGCACUCGGGCUCCCGCGGCCUGUGGGGCCGGCUCCUCGAAGGUUCUAGAACGUGCCCUGGGGCCCGCGGUUGGGUCCUUCCCCGCCCCUGAGACCGGUGCCGCUUCGAACGUCCAGUUCCACCUGGAAGGCUCAGCAGGUGACAGCUACUCCGAUGACGUCAGCGUUGGAGAGACCAUUUGUAAUAGUGAGAGAUCCCCAAACAAAGGACUUGGAUCACAAGACAAGUUCACAAUAUGAUCGCUGCAAAUCAUUCCCUACCAGACUAAAUUUAAAGCAAGUUUCUGGAGCCAGGACAAUGUUCCUGGAGAAAAGGAGUUUAGGAGAAUUAGGUGAGACCACAGGAAGAAGGGUAGCCAGUAAAUGCCAGCGCCACAGCAGUGUGCCACCAGAUGACCACGGGUGAGUUCACACAUUCAGUUUGCCGAACCAGACAUCACUUCUGUCUCACAUUUCAAGUACACAUAAGAGAAACUCGCCUGAGAGGUCAUCUGACCUGGCAAAGCACUAACCUGAGCUCAACCCCAACGGACAAAACCCCGACUCCACACCUUCCUUCUGACAUCUGGAGUCUGACCGGCAAGAAGUUGACCUCCUCGCCCAAAAUGAAAACCAAGGCUUGAUCUGUUCCGGUGCCCUCUGAAAAAAUGCCGUCCUCGGCAGGAUGGCCACACAGGAGUGGCCAGUGUUUCCUGGGUCUCCACCUCGCAAGUUCUCCCACCCUGCCAGCAACCACUCAGUGAAUGUUUUUCUUUUCUUCCAAUCUUCUCAUUCUUUUCCACAUGGUAAAGCUCAGAGAUGAGCUGAUAAGGAUUAUCGUUUGCAGGGCCUCCUCCUAGACCCCUGUGCUGGGCCAGCUUUUUGUCCCCAAGUUCUCUAACCCCUGGGAGACAUUGCUAUCUCACGCCUGUCUUUGCAGCCCUACAAAAUGGCUCCCUUUGUGCCACUUGGCCAGGACCCCAAGGCUGGCCACACAGGACUGCAGGUUGGAUCAGUUUAGAACAGAAGCCCAGACAAAGUGGACUCUACCCUUCCUCUGAGCCACGAGGGUCAUCCCAGGAACGCCCGUAACACCUGGAACAACAGUGUGCCCUAGCCGAGACAAUGUGGACACCUCUACACGACCCAAACCCUGGCACCAAGUUAAGCAAGGGCUUGGCAAACGGUCCCAGUCCCGAUACCGUGCCCAGUGUCCCCCCUGCAAGACGCAGUGGCUGAGUGGCAAGAAAGGGCCCUCUUCCCAGGUGGAGAGAACCGGAGGAGACAAUGGACGUGUCGGGCCCCGCCCAGGAGCAGGAAGCCCCCUCCCUCGGGGGAGCCGGGGCCAGGGAUGAACGCAUUUGGUAAACGUCAAAGCGACAAGUGAAAAGGUUGGGGUGCCGAGACCGAGGGCGGAAGGUCUGGGCGCA